rnacentral:rRNA from 1 species
UACGUAGGGUGCGAGCGUUGUCCGGAAUUAUUGGGCGUAAAGAGCUUGUAGGCGGUCUGUCGCGUCUGCUGUGAAAAUCCGGGGCUCAACCCCGGACUUGCAGUGGGUACGGGCAGACUAGAGUGUGGUAGGGGAGACUGGAAGUUCCUGGUGUAGCGGUGAAAUGCGCAGAUAUCAGGAGGAACACCGAUGGCGAAGGCAGGUCUCUGGGCCACUACUGACGCUGAGAAGCGAAAGCAUGGGGAGCGAACAGG